rnacentral:rRNA from 1 species
AGAGUUUGAUCCUGGCUCAGAACGAACGCUGGCGGCGUGGAUAAGACAUGCAAGUCGAGCGCUGAUUACAGGGUAGCAAUAUUCUGUGGUCGGAGCGGCGCAAGGGUGCGUAACACGUGGGUAAUCUGCCAUGAAGUUUGGAAUAACUUGCUGAAAGGCGAGCUAAUACCGGAUGUGACAAUUGAGAGGCAUCUUCCGAUUGUCAAAGCUGGGGACCGUAAGGCCUGGCGCUUCAUGAUGAGCCCGCGGCCUAUCAGCUAGUUGGUGAGGUAACGGCUCACCAAGGCUAAGACGGGUAGCUGGUCUGAGAGGACGACCAGCCACACUGGAACUGAGACACGGUCCAGACACCUACGGGUGGCAGCAGUCGAGAAUUUUUCACAAUGGGCGCAAGCCUGAUGGAGCGACGCCGCGUGGGGGAUGAAUGGCUUCGGCCCGUAAACCCCUGUCAUUUGCGAACAAAUUGGUUCAAUUAACACCUGAACCAUUGAUAGUAGCGAAAGAGGAAGGGACGGCUAACUCUGUGCCAGCAGCCGCGGUAAUACAGAGGUCCCAAGCGUUGUUCGGAUUCACUGGGCGUAAAGGGUGCGUAGGUGGUGAGGUAAGUCGGAUGUGAAAUCUCCGAGCUCAACUCGGAAACUGCAUUGGAAACUACCUUGCUCGAGGGUUGGAGGGGGGACUGGAAUGCUUGGUGUAGCAGUGAAAUGCGUAGAUAUCAAGCGGAACACCAGUGGCGAAGGCGAGUCCCUGGACAACUCCUGACACUGAGGCACGAAAGCUAGGGGAGCAAACAGGAUUAGAUACCCUAGUAGUCC